rnacentral:rRNA from 1 species
GUGAACGCUGGCGGUAGGCCUAACACAUGCAAGUCGAACGGCAGCACAGUAAGAGCUUGCUCUUACGGGUGGCGAGUGGCGGACGGGUGAGGAAUACAUCGGAAUCUACUUUUUCGUGGGGGAUAACGUAGGGAAACUUACGCUAAUACCGCAUACGACCUACGGGUGAAAGCAGGGGAUCUUCGGACCUUGCGCGAUUGAAUGAGCCGAUGUCGGAUUAGCUAGUUGGCGGGGUAAAGGCCCACCAAGGCGACGAUCCGUAGCUGGUCUGAGAGGAUGAUCAGCCACACUGGAACUGAGACACGGUCCAGACUCCUACGGGAGGCAGCAGUGGGGAAUAUUGGACAAUGGGCGCAAGCCUGAUCCAGCCAUACCGUGUGGGUGAAGAAGGCCUUCGGGUUGUAAAGCCCUUUUGUUGGGAAAGAAAAGCAGCAGGUUAAUACCCCGCUGUUCUGACGGUACCCAAAGAAUAAGCACCGGCUAACUUCGUG